GCGCGAAAACUUUACAAUGCUGGCAACAGCGAUAAGGGAACCUCGAGUGCCAGGUUACAAAUCUGGCUGUCGAGAUGCCUAAAAAGCAUUUCAUAGCAAGGGCCGGGCAAGACCGGUGCCAGCCGCCGCGGUAACACCGGCGGCUCGAGUGGUAACCGUUAUUAUUGGGUCUACAGGGUCUGUAGCCGGCCGGAUAAGUCUCUUGAGAAAUAUGGCAGCUUAACUGUCAGGCUUUCAGGAUAUACUGUCUGGCUCGAGGCCGGGAGAGGUGAGAGGUACUUCAGUGGUAGGGGGGAAAUGUUGUGAUCCUUGAAGGACCACCAGUGGCGAAGGCGUCUCACCAGAACGGACCUGACGGCAAGGGACGAAAGCUAGGGGCACGAACC
rnacentral:rRNA from 1 species